rnacentral:rRNA from 1 species
AGAAUUUGAUCCUGGUUCAGGAUGAACGCUGGCGGUGUGCCUAAAGCAUGCAAGUCGAACGAGGGAAACUCUAGCUUGCUAGAGUGGAACUAGUGGCGAACGGGUGAGUAACGCGUAGGAACCUACCCUUUAGUGGGGAAUAGCCCGCCGAAAGGCGGGGUAAUACUCCAUAGUCCCGCAAGGGUAAAGUCGCAAGACGCUAGAGGAGGGGCCUGCGUCCUAUCAGCUUGUUGGUGGGGUAAUAGCCUACCAAGGCGAUGACGGGUAGCCGGUGUGAGAGCACGUCCGGCCACAAGGUUACUGAGACACGGAGCCUACACCUACGGGUGGCAGCAACUGGGAAUUUUGCGCAAUGGGCGAAAGCCUGACGCAGCGACACCGCGUGUGGGAAGACGCUUUUCGGAGUGUAAACCACUGUGGCAGGGGAACAAAAAAAUGAGGGUACCCUGCUAGAAAGCACCUGCUAACUACGUGCCAGAAGCCUCGGUAAUACGUAGGGUGCAAGCGUUAUCCGGAGUUAUUGGGCGUAAAGCGUUCCGUCGGCUGGUUGGCAAGUGGAAGGUUUAAGCCUGGGGCUCAACCCCAGACCAGCUUUUCAUACUGCCGAUCUUGAGGGUGUUAGAAGAAGUUAGAACACUCGGUGGAGGGGUGAAAUCCGUAGAUAUCGAGUGGAAUACCAAGAGCGAAAGCAGACUUCUGGGGCACUCCUGACGCUCAGGGACGACAGCUAGGGUAGCGAAGCGGAUUAGAGACCCGCGUAGUCCUAGCCGUAAACGAUGGAUGCUAGCUGUUCCUUCUUUAUGAAGGAGUGGCGCAAGCUAACGCGUUAAGCAUCCCGCCUGGGGAGUACGACCGCAAGGUUAAAACUCAAAGGAAUUGACGGGGAAGCGCACAACCGGUGGAGCAUGUGNNNNNNNAUGGCUGUCGUCAGCUCGUGUCGUAAAUGUCUUGCGACCUUGGUUAGUAAUAACCAAGACAAAUCUGGCUCAUAUCGGUGAAAUUCGGUUGAUAACAAUUAAUCUUUGGGUUAUAUUGGGUUCAAUGAACAACACCGAGGGAAGUCGGGUAAUUAAGCAGACCUAUCGAGCUCGAAAAAAUUUAAUCGAGCCAUAUAUUAUCGAUAGUCUGCGUUACAAAUUACCUUGACCCCGUAACGACUGGAAACUGUGUAACAACAGUGGAAGAUGGGAUCUACUACUUAAUUUCUUGAUGAUUUUCAGUAAAUUUAUGAAUUCCAUAACACGCCAGCCCCUACUCAUUAAUGAGAGGGUGAAGGUAUAGUCUAGCGCUAUAAGUAAUUUUAGCGAUUAUUUUUGGAGACGUCCGCUUAAGUGCGGUAACGAGCGCAACCCCUGUCUUAUGUUGCAUUUCAUAAGAGACUGCCCGGCUGCAAGCCGGGAGGAAGGAGGGGACGACGUCAAGUCAGCAUGGCCCUUACACCCAGGGCAACACACAUCCUACAAUGGAGCCGACAACGGGUAGCGACGGGGUAACCCUGAGCCAAUCCUAAUAAACGGCCCCUCAGUUCGGAUUGAGGGCUGCAAUUCGCCCUCAUGAAGUCGGAAUCGGUAGUAAUCGCAGGUCAGCAGACUGCGGUGAAUACGUUCUCGCUUCUUGUACACACUGCCCGUCAAGCCAGCAAAGUCGGCAGCGCCCGAAGCGGGUGACCUUAACCUUCAUUAGAAGGAAAGGCUCCGUUACGGCGAGGUCGGCGAUGAGGACUAAGUCGUUUAAGAAUAUAAAUU